rnacentral:rRNA from 1 species
AGUGGCGGACGGGUGAGUAACGCGUGAGGAUCUGCCCUUAGGUUGGGGAUAACAGUUGGAAACGACUGCUAAUACCCAAUGUGCCGAGAGGUGAAAGGUUUACUGCCUGAGGAUGAGCUCGCGUCCGAUUAGCUAGUUGGUGGGGUAAUGGCGUACCAAGGCGACGAUCAGUAUCUGGUUUGAGAGGACGAUCAGACACACUGGAACUGAGACACGGUCCAGACUCCUGCGGGAGGCAGCAGUAGGGAAUUUUCCGCAAUGGGCGAAAGCCUGACGGAGCAAUACCGCGUGAGGGAUGACUGCCUAUGGGUUGUAAACCUCUUUUUUCAGGGAGGAACAAAAUGACGUGUACCUGAAGAAUAAGCAUCGGCUAACUCCGUGCCAGCAGCCGCGGUAAGACGGAGGAUGCAAGUGUUAUCCGGAAUUACUGGGCGUAAAGCGCCUGUAGGUGGCUCGAUAAGUCAACUGUUAAAUCUUGAAGCUCAACUUCAAAAUCGCAGUCGAAACUAUCGGACUAGAGUAUAGUAGAGGUAAAGGGAAUUUCCAGUGGAGCGGUGAAAUGCGUAGAUAUUGGAAAGAACACCGAUGGCGAAAGCACUUUACUGGGCUAUUACUGACACUCAGAGACGAAAGCUAGGGUAGCAAAUGGGAUUAGAUACCCCAGUAGUCCUAGCCGUAAACAAUGGAUACUAGGUGUUG